CCUACGGGGGGCAGCAGUGAGGAAUAUUGGUCAAUGGUCGGGAGACUGAACCAGCCAAGCCGCGUGAGGGAUGAAGGUACAGAGUAUCGUAAACCUCUUUUGUCAGGGAACAAAGGCGGGGACGUGUCCCCGGAUGAGUGUACCUGAAGAAAAAGCAUCGGCUAACUCCGUGCCAGCAGCCGCGGUAAUACGGAGGAUGCGAGGGUUAUCCGGAUUUAUUGGGUUUAAAGGGUGCGCAGGCGGUCUGUUAAGUCAGCGGUCAAAGCCCGGGGCUCAACCCCGGCCCGCCGUUGAAACUGGCAGUCGCGAGUUGGAGAGAAGUAUGCGGAAUGCGCGGUGUAGCGGUGAAAUGCAUAGAUAUCGCGCAGAACUCCGAUUGCGAAGGCAGCAUGCCGGCUCCACACUGACGCUGAGGCACGAAAGCGUGGGUAUCGAACAGGAUUAGAUACCCUUGUAGUC
rnacentral:rRNA from 1 species